GGGGCCGUAGCUCAAUUGGGAGAGCACUGCCUUUGCAAGGCAGGGGUUGGCGGUUCGAGCCCGCUCGGCUCCA
rnacentral:tRNA from 1 species